UGCCUAACGCAUGCAAGUCGAACGGUAACAGGCCUUCGGGCGCUGACGAGUGGCGGACGGGUGAGUAAUACGUAGGAAUCUGCCCAUUAGUGGGGGAUAACCCGGCGAAAGCCGGGCUAAUACCGCAUACGCCCUACGGGGGAAAGCGGGGGAUCGCAAGACCUCGCGCUAUUGGAUGAGCCUACGUCGGAUUAGCUAGUUGGUAGGGUAAUGGCCUACCAAGGCAACGAUCCGUAGCUGGUCUGAGAGGACGAUCAGCCACACUGGGACUGAGACACGGCCCAGACUCUUACGGGAGGCAGCAGUGGGGAAUCUUGGACAAUGGGGGAAACCCUGAUCCAGCAAUGCCGCGUGUGUGAAGAAGGCCUUCGGGUUGUAAAGCACUUUCGAUAGGGAAGAAAAGCUGGUUGUGAAUAACAGCCGGUCUUGACGUUACCUAGAGAAGAAGCACCGGCUAACUCUGUGCCAGCAGCCGCGGUAAUACAGAGGGUGCAAGCGUUAAUCGGAAUUACUGGGCGUAAAGCGUGCGCAGGCGGCUGUGCAAGACAGAUGUGAAAUCCCCGGGCUUAACCUGGGAAUGGCAUUUGUGACUGCACGGCUAGAGUGUGUCAGAGGGAGGUAGAAUUCCACGUGUAGCAGUGAAAUGCGUAGAUAUGUGGAGGAAUACCGAUGGCGAAGGCAGCCUCCUGGGAUAACACUGACGCUCAUGCACGAAAGCGUGGGGAGCAAACAGGAUUAGAUACCCUGGUAGUCCACGCCCUAAACGAUGUCACCUAGUUGUCGGGGGUCUUAUUGACUUGGUAACCCAGCUAACGCGUGAAGUUGACCGCCUGGGGAGUACGGUCCCAG
rnacentral:rRNA from 1 species